AAAUAUUAUCCUAUAUAAGGCGGAGGAAAGGAUACUUCAAUAUUCUGAAACUGAAACCAGUUUACAUCCUGCCUUAAAAUGAAAGCAGUACUUCUAUUACUUGUCCUUGUCGCCAUCCUUGGAAUGGCUAUGGGCGCAGUCCACCAUUACAAAGUCAAGAACAGCGGAGGACAUGGACAUCAUGGUGGUGGAAGUAUCUUUGACACUGCUGCAAGCUUCAUCAAUGGAGUCAUCUAAGCUGAGAGGUCUGAAUAAUCUUGGAUGUAAAAUUUCAAAGGAAUGCAACAUUUCAAUGAAAUAAAAACUGAUUUUUCACAUUUU